rnacentral:rRNA from 1 species
UACGGAGGGGGCGAGCGUUAUUCGGAAUUAUUGGGCGUAAAGGGCGCGUAGGCGGCCCGGUAAGUCAAAGGUGAAAUCCCUCGGCUCAACUGAGGAACUGCCUUUGAAACUGUCGGGCUUGAGGCCGGGAGGGGGUAGCGGAAUUCCCAGUGUAGCGGUGAAAUGCGUAGAUAUUGGGAGGAACACCGGUGGCGAAGGCGGCAUUCUGGACCAAUACUGACGCUGAGGAGCGAAAGCCAGGGGAGCAAACGGG